rnacentral:rRNA from 1 species
AUGAGUGAUAAAAAGGUUUUGCAGCAAUUCUUAGGAAUUGUAAACUAUGCACGAAACUAUAUAGAUAACUUAGCAAAGCUAGCAGGACCUUUAUAUGCUAAAUUAAGAAAAAAUGGUCAAAGAUACUUCAAUUCUGAAGAUAUAAAAUUAGUAAAGGCCAUCAAGGAAAAGGUCAAGAAUUUAAAACCCCUAGAAUUGCCUCUAGAAGACAAUUAUUUUAUAAUUGAGACAGAUGCAUCUAAGGUAGGAUGGGGUGCGAUACUAAAACAAAAGCCCAAUAAAUACUCUCCAAAGGCAGACGAAAAAAAUAUGCAGAUAUGCUUCAGGAAGUUACAAAUUAAAGACGGUAAAUAA